rnacentral:lncRNA from 1 species
GGACUAAAGGGCUACGCGGUGGGCAGUGGUGGUGGCAACCGUUCGUAUCCCCCUUUAGUCCCUGUUGGUGGCUCAACCCGGGACUAAAGGCCUAACACGUGGCCUGCCGUAGUGGUGGCAAUCGUUGGUAUACCUCUUUUGUCCCGGUUGGUGGCACAAUCCGGGACUAAAGGCCCAAACGGUUUGCAUCCCGCGUCGUUUCGGGCGAUGAAAAGCACGAACCGAAGCAGAGUCGUCAUUUCUCUGUUUCUUCUUCUCUCUCGCUCUGUUCUUCUCCUCUCUUCUUCCCUUCUCUUCUUCCACCAUGCCAACUCGCUUUGGAG